GCCUCUGUGUGCUGGGGGAAAAAGAAAGCAAUUGAUUUUGUUUGGGAGAAUUUUAUGUUAGUCCUUUUUAUUAUCUCAAGAAGGGUCAUGAAAUCCUCUAAAGCAAAAUCAAUUACAGCCACGCUCUGGGAGGCCAGAGCAGCCCUUUGGCUUAUGAGCAACAGGCAGGUCUCCAGAGGAGAAGCCCCAGCCUUUGAGUUGCUGCUGGUCUGCUCCCUGUUGGCUUGGAUCCAGGUCACCCUCUGCUCUUCAUAAAGCUCUUUUGUCAACUUACCAAGGGACCUGCCCUGAAAGCCACAGCGUGGGGCAGGGACAGACACCUAGUCCAAGCUGGACCAAUCGAUUUGCUCUCCCAGAAGUUGGGAAGUCAGACUCAGAGCCAGUUAGCCUCCAAAUGUGGGAAGAACAAAAGAGACAUUACCCUGGUGGUUGGGGAUGGUGCAUGAUCAGCCGGGCGUUCCAAGAAGGAAAAAAGGAAAAACCGUCUGAGCAGAGAAAGAAACAGUCGACAGGUGAAAUGAAUGACAAUGUUCUGGAGAACCUUCAGACCCUGGCACUAGAGCCCUUUGACUGGACUUGGCUUCUGGUAGGAACUCAGAUUAUGUCCCAAGCACUGUGCGGAGGGCACUACAGAGCACAAAUGGACCCAGUCCCUGCCUAAGAGAGCUGAGAGUGGACAGUUAAGGAGCUGUAACACUAAAGCACUGCAGGGGGUGUCCUCUGCUGCCCUGCAGGACCCACCCCUACCUUUCCAACAAAGAAUGUUUUCUCUGCUUCCAUGAUGUCAAUCAGAACCCUUGAAACGAUUGGCUCAGGAAGGGACACUUGGCCAAAAGUCAAUCAAUCAAGACCUCCCUGGAACUCUUCUGCCACUGUUAUUCUGAAAGCCCUUGUGGUCCCACUGCUGUAGCUAACCAAAAGGCUGCAAGUAUGGGAUGCUAUUUUGACCACCAUGAGGAGAUGGCUGGUUCAAGAAACUGAGAGAGAGAGACCCAGAAUGCUAUAAUUAGCAGCCCACUGAUAUUUCCAGCGAUCAAGCCAAGAAAUCAUCUUCCUUGUUGUUUAAGCUAAUUUGUGCUGUAUUCCUUUCCCUUAAGAUUCUUUUAUUGUGAGGAGAGACAAAGGAAGUACCAGGUUCCAAAGAACCUCUCAGUGGGCACAUGUAUUAGAAGAUCGCAGGUUAUAGGAUCUACUCUGUCCAAUAAUUUACAUGUAUAGGUAGGCUUUCGAUGUUGAUUGACUAUUGAACAUUUCUAUUCAAAUGAUUGUUUCUGUGCAUCACCACCUUAGGAUUUCUAAGAUGUAUGAUACUCACUGAGCCUUGGGAACAUAACAGCAUAUCAUAUCACCUCUAGGUUCUUAGAGAACAGUCCGUAAGAGAGAUAUUCCUGGGGCUCCUGCAACAGAUUGAAGACAUUCAGUGGUGGUGACAGUGAAGGGACAGCCUUCAGUCACCUGCAGCUCAGAAGAGCCUGAAUUUCUCAUGUGCAGUUGGCAUCCUGCAUCACGCCCUUCAUCCCAACAGGACUGAGGCUGGUUCCCUAGCAACCGUGCUCCCUGCCUGUCCACCCACCCAGAAUUACAGCCAAUGCUUCCUCCCUAGGCUCUCUGGGAUCACUCCCCAAUGCUCAGCUUCUCAAAGUCUCUGUCAUCCCUCAACUGUCCCCCAGGAAGCACAUUCUCACUCUUCACCUCGCAAGCUUUAGAGUUUAUAAUGUUCCACUUACCUUUCUUCAUCAGAUGUUUAUGGCCACCCCAGGAAUAGGAAUCACUCUCUCCACUUAUGGACGAGGAAACUGAAGCUCAGAAAAGCUGGGAAACUUUCCUGAGGACACACAGCUCGCAAAUGGAGGAGCCAGGGUAAAACAAAGAAAAAAAAAUCACUUCAUCCUUCAGGGUGCUGUCCUCGUGAAUAAGCCGAACACUCACCCACCCUGGCUUCCGGGCUUUGCCAAAUCCUUCAGUGAUCAGUCUCCACGAUUCUUUGGGCCUUCUUCUUUUUCACUGGCCUGGGCUCCAACCCUGCUUCACCUUCCUGGAUGCAGCUUCCAAAUCGUGUCCCCACCCUCCGAGACCAUCUAGCCUCUUCCUGUCCUACUUCGUACCACCAAGGACACAUCAGAGGUCACAGGGUCAUAGGAUGGGACAAUCAAUGGGACAAUGGUUGAAAAGCACUGAAUCCCAGAGUAACUGGGUCAGUUAAGUAGUCACUUAAGUGACUCCCAGGGACAAGUUAACAAAUAAGUUGACGAUAGCAAUACACAAAAUAAUUCAGGCUGGGGCUGAUGUUUACAAAACUAAUUUGGGUUUUGCAAUGAAGAAAACUUGACCCCAGCAGGACUCUGUCCUGACUUCCUGGGGGGGCCGAGGGGAACCUUCCCCCAAGGGCUGGGGUCUUCUGGAGAAACCAGAAGUAAAGCAGAUUCUCCACAGGGCACUAAACAAGCAGCAGACUGUGGAAGUGUGUUCAGUUAGACUUAUAAUCCUGAGAAAAGUGCCAGAAGAUGUUCUGUCACCAGGUCAGCCACAGCUAUUGUCUGUGACAGGAUUGGCCAUGCCAAGCCCGAUUGCUAGCCCCUGGUGACAUAAGUAUGUCUGCACACAACAGUGUGUUUCUAUGUGAACGCAUGUAUCUGUGACUGUGUGUAGUUUGGUGAUUGCAGCAUAUAAACUUGCUGUUUUCCUAAGUCCAAAGCAGAAUAGUAUUGGUCAUUUCAUUCGGUUCAAACUAACGCUUUAAAAACUGGAAAAUUCCAUAUUCAUGAAAGAUUUAUUCACCAACCUCCACUGAAAAUGUGGUUUUCAACACCAACAAGCAACACAGAGGAACUGCUUGGUUUUCAGUUGACAAGUAAAAGAGAUGGGACAAAGACAGCGGGACUUGCUCCCAAUUACACGUGGUUCCUGGCAGCUGGGCAGCUGAGCGGGUUCAACCGGCACCUGUCAGAGGCACUAUCUGCUACAAUCCAGUCAGACCCUUUGUGCUGACCCAUCGGCCUCAUUUGCUGGCAAGAUUAUCCUGGGCUUUACUUCCCUUUGCUCUUCCCUGUGUGGGAACAUGAAGCUCCAGGUCUCAGAGCUCGGCCUGCAACUCCAUUCCAGGCUUCCCAGACUGAAUGGGCCUUUCCCUUCUUGGCCCCAGCCCCCUUGCUGAGCCCUGUUCAACCCCAGCACACCACAGACCGGCUCUCGCAUGUAUUUUAAAUCUAGGAAUUGUCUUUCCAGGAAACUUCUUAUUGUGUUUAUCUAGGUCUAUUCUCCUAAAAAAAAAAAAAAAUGUGGGCAGUCAUAAGAAAAACUCAAAAGGCAAGAGGGCUGCUUCCAGGGAGAAGCUGGGAGCCCGGCCAGCUCGUGGAGAACCUGGGGAAAGAGGCCUGGCUGAUGGCAACCCAGCCAUCAAGUCAGCCAGAAAAAAAAGAACUGCCCUUGGAGGAAUGAGCCCUAAGAUGCCAGAGGAGGUUGAAGGGUCUGAUCUGGCUCAGGUGGGAUUCUCCAGGAAAAACACCCUGCAGGGACCAACCCCGAAUCAGGCCGUGCUGCCCUGCUGGACAUCACUAUGGGCAGUCAGAGGGAGGAAGGAGAGGUCGUGAGGAGGGAAGGAGGUGGCUAGGGGGAGUCACCAGACUGAUGCAACUGGCUUUGCAAUACCGUCUGUGCCUCCCCACUUCUUAAAAAGCAGGUCAUCUCACCAAAACAAGGCCCUUUAUCUUGGUGAUGUUGCAUAAAGAGUGCAAUAUUUAAGACAUUCAUGCUAAAAAAUUAUUCAUCGCUCAUCUGAAAUUCAAAUUUAACCAGUGUCCUGUAUGUUACCAACAACAUCAGGAGGAUGGAGAAGCUCCCAGAGGGAUCACAGAACCAAGUGUCCAGCCUAUGAUGACAGCCAGCCCUGGAUCCUCACCACACACAUCUAUUCCCAGAGGCUAACCCCACAGUGCAGUCAGCAGGUGAGAGACAAGCUCACACUUCAGAGCAGGAUGAGAGGGGUCAGCUCCCCUCCUGAUCCCCUGUCUCUGUGCUGCCUGGCACCCCACAUCUAGGCUGUGCUCUGGCUCAAUUCCUAAACUAAGGGUCUGAGGCUUAGUGAUUUAAGUAGCUCCCCACCCAUGCCUGCUGAUACCAGGAGGCACUGACAACCCCUUCCCCAAAACAUAGCAUCAGAGUCACACUUCUGGUCUCUAGAGAAGGAUUCUUUUGGGGGGGGGAGGGCACCAGGGAUUGAACUCAGGGGCACUCAGCCACUGAGCCACAUCCCCAGUCCUAUUUUGUAUUUUAUUUAGAGACAGGGUCUCACUGAGUUGCUUAGUGCCUCACUUUUGCUGAGGCUGGCUUUGAACUCCUGAUCCUCCUGCCUCAGCCUCCCCAGCCACUGGGAUUACAGGCAUGCACCACUGCUUCCAGCUAGAGAAGGGUUUUUUUUUUUAAUGGCUUUUUCUUUUAAUUUUGAUUAUGAUAGCUAUAAAUGAUUAUGCAAAUGAUUCUGUGAAAAAAAGAAAUGGAAAAUAGAGGCAAUUCUGAAUAAAAGAACAUGACACAA